CCUUGGCUCCGCCCCCGCGCCGUCGGCUGCUAGCCGCCCAACUGCUAGACUCCCGCGGCGAGACUUCCGGUACCCGGCUCUCGCAAAAUGGCGGCUGCGGCGGGCGCCUUUCCAGUCUCGUUUUCAUCGUUUCCAAUUCAGGAGGAAGAUGCUGGUGGCCAUCUUGGGACAAUGAGAGGAGCUAGUCUUAGAAUGAUGCGGACACCAAGGAAGGCACAGCAGAGAAAAGGAAACAAAAGGUCCUUGAUGACAUACUGAGUUAUAGAAUCAAGCUUCACUAGAAUCAAGCUUCACAUGAUUGCCUGAAGCCUGUGGACUUCUCAUUCAUGAAAUGAAAUGGCAUUGUCCUGAUCACCUUGAGGACACGAGGAGGGGUGAAAAGAUGCAGAUCCAUGGCAGUGACAGUGAGACGAGUAUGGUCUAGGAGAACGUGAAACUUUGACAUUAAUGUCCUCCCUGUGAGCUUUCCCCAAAGGUAUCCUUCAGCUAUGGAGCUAAUCAGAAGGCCCAUCGGCAUUUCCAUGUGUAGUUUACACACCACACUGUGGUUUCUUGGCUGGUCCUUGGCACAAAGGGAACUGAGCAAGACAUCAUGACGUAGACAAGCUGCAACGUGAACGCCACAGAGGUGGGAAGGUCAUGGCCCACAAAGGCAGAGAUUCGGUGAAGGCCUCUGAGGUUUCACCUCAUCUCCACAGUUCUUAGUCACACAAUUUCCUUUAUGGAUCUGAACAGUAACAAAUGGGCCUUAGAAAACGAAUCAGUGUGCCAGGUGGAAAAUGCCAAAAGUCAUCUUGUCUCUCCAAAGGGUUAAGCUGCUUUUCCGUUUUAUUUUUCUACCCUUUCUUUAUUCUUCAAGCCCUCUUUGCUGAAUAAUUUAAAAUUCACGGUUACAAGGGCUUCCUUUGUGCCCACAUUCCCCUGCUGAGAUCAGAUGCAGCUGACCCCACCCCAGUCAAGGCCAACUGGAUGAGGGCAGGACCCCGGCCCAAGUCUUCCUGCUGGAGAGCACGCUGUGAGAUGGUCGGGUGUGAAAAAGCCUGCUCUGCUGGAACAAGGCAGUCUGUUUCCUCCUCGUCUCAGAAGUAUGAACUGGGAAUCGUGGGGACAGGUAGGCAGUCAGUCAUACCAGAGAAAUGAGAGGAGACAGGAAUAGCCAGUUAACUGGUGGACAUAAGAGAAGAGAUGAUCCGUCUCCUGGGACUGAGGGCACAUCGUGAUUUUUCAGGUACCUAAACUGUACUGUAGUCUUUAAUAACUCUAACAGUAGCAAAGCUAAUGGUAACAAUAAUAGCUAGCAUUUAUUGUGCCCUUACCAUGUGCUAAGGAUCAUUUUAGGAGUUUUACAACUAUUCAUUCAUUCAAUGUUCACAAUGACUCUUGAUGAUGAUGAUGAUGAUGAUGAUGACGACGCUGAUGAUGGCACUGAAGCACAGAGAAGCUAAGUAACUUGACCAAGGCUACACAGCUCAUAAGUGGCCCAGACACAAUUUGAACUCCAAUGGCAGGGUUCCAGAGCCCAUCCAGCGUGUGCCUCCCUGUGGGGUAGUCCUGAGUAUCCUGUGUUCUUUAUUGCCCAUCCUUACAAUAAAGCUCCCCUAUUAAGGAGGCCUGACAGGGGGUCUAUUGCUUGCUCCCUAUUGCCUCACAACUAGCAUUUUUCUUGGCUCCGCUCAUUAUGAAUCUUAGUAACGUAAGCAUACAUUUAUUAAUUCAAGAACUAUUUAAUGCUUACUGUGUGCCAGGAACUACUACUGAGCUCUGGAAGCUGACGAAGACUCCGCCCCGUUCCAGCUCUCAGGAACCUCUACUAAGUAGGGAAAGACUCGGUCUGCACACACCGCCACGCCAGAAAGAGCUUCCAGUAAUUAUACUGUAUAGUCAUACUUCUACGACCUUCUGCAGAAUCUACGGGACAUACUGUCUUUGUAAACACACCGUGUCCUAUUUUUGCAUAAUGAUAUAUUGUAUCCCGAGCUCAUCGUUAAAAUAACGCCUCAAAAGAACAUCUUAAAUAUCACCAAAAUAGAAACAGACACGGCAAAGAUGGCUUCUUGGAAGGUCUUCCCAGGAUUCUGUGUCAGUCAGGCCAAGGGAUGGCAACACGCAUGCGCACACUGGCUGACCUACAGGCGGCGCUGCAGUGUCCCCCAGAGCCUGAAGGUGCCUGAGAAAUACGAACCAUGGCCUCCUCCUCUGUCCGAUCAUAUUUCACUGCUGGCAACUUGUUCACAGCAUCAAUCCCCAUUGCCGCCAAGUGGGUAUUUAUUUAUGUCUACGGUACUUGCAAGACGGUGCUCUCAGACACCAGGUGUCACUCUUCUCAUCUUUCCAAACCGACAGCACCAGCACACUGCUUUGCACCUGACAGGUCUUUAACCUGUUUUAAACGACCGUUUUGUAACAGUAUUACACCAGCACCAGUCUAUUGUGGGAAAUGCUGAACUCAAAUUUAAAGGAGAGAAAUUAUGUAUAAUCCUACUAGAAGUACACGUUAACUUUUUGGAAUAUUUCCUUCUAGUCUUGAUACAUAUAAAAUGUUUCAAAAUGAAGAUGAUGAAUACGCAGUUUUGAAUCCAGGUUCUGUUAGCCUUUCCUACCACUAAAUACUCUUUGAAAACAUGAUUUUUUAAUGACUGCAUGGAAUUUCAACACCAAUUUAUUGAACAUUCUCCCGUGGCUGGUCAUUUACCAUAUUUCUUACUUUGCUUUUAUAAAUGUGCUAAUAUCAACAUCCUUAUACACAAAUUCUUGUGUUCAGUUAGGUUUAUGCAAUAGAAAAAGAAGUAUUGGAUCAAAGAGUUUGAACAAUUUAAACUCUCUUGAUAUGCAGUGCAAAUGGUCCACGGAGAAGGCUUAUACUCCCUCUGGCCUCAUGAAAGAAUGAAUGCCCCAUUCACCAUACUCUCGCCAACACUGAAUAUUACAGUUUUAGAAAAUCUUUACUUUAAUUUGGUUUCUUCAGUGGGCCGUAACAGAGCCUACAUUUAAACUCUACGUUCCUAAGAAAAGUGCAGAUGGGUCACUUACAAACAGGAGCAAAAGAGCCUAUGAGCAACAGUCCCCACCUCAAGCCCUUGAAGCCAUAAAAUACUUUAGGAUUUUAGAAAUGGCAAGUACUUUAGAGGUCACUGAGCAAACUGUUUCAGUUUAUAAAUAAAGUAACCAAAGCUCAGAGAGAUGAAGUGACCUGGGAAACAUAUUUGAGUUCGAACUAGAAUCUAGUUGUCUGGACCCGUGGUCUGGACGCAUAAGCCAUUUCUUUAGAAUGGGCUGAUAACCUAUGGAAGCAACAAACCAUUGUUACCAGAGUGAAAAAAUAAAGGGAAAAAUAGUAUGAGAAUGUAUUUGAAAACGAAACCGUUGUUGGUCUAAAUUGUUUUAUCUUCAUGACACCAAGUGAGAAUAAGCUGUUUUAUAGACAAAGGCAAAAACUCACAUGUGAGUAUUACUCUAUUCUUAAGAUCCCUGCUUACAUCUAGAACAGAUAUUUUUUUUUUUCCUGGAACCAUUAAAAUAUUCAGCAUUGAUCCACCAUCCUCUCAUCGAGCCAACAUUUACUAAGAAUGUACUGUGGCCAGGCACGGUGCCAGGUACUGGAGCAGCAGGAGGGAAAGAACCAAGCUAAUGCUGCCACCCUGGUCCAAGGCACCAUCAUCUCUCAUGGGAAGAUUGCAACAGCCACCUAACUGGAAGGUUAUUAAAUGCUCUGGGGAUGAGGAACAAAAAGCUGAGAGACCGGGCUGGAGAAGGAAGCAAGCUGUCCAUACAGCAUGAAUGUUUUGUAUAUCUCACCAGCUUGUCCUUCUGGAACCCAGGCAGCCCCAUUAUCCGUGGAGGCUGGCUCUGAAGUGUUACUCUACUACCCGGCAUCCUGGGGAGAAGAAGCCUGCCUAUAUGUCAGGGUCUAGGAGAAGAGGAAUUUGCAAAGUCAGUCCCCUUCUUCUUAUUUAGAGAGUUCAGUAACAUGCCUAUACAGUCCUCCUUCCUCAUAAAAUUCACAAUUUUCUCUCCAGAUAAAAGUGCAGACACUCUGGAGAACACCGUGGGCUAGAACGACAAGAGGAACCAAGACGCUCCCAACUCAACCUCUCUUCAUUACUCUCCCCACCUCUAUCAACACGCAGCCACGGAAGAAAUCUAGUAGGUUUUCAAAAACAUCCAGAAAAAGACUCAGCACCCUCUCUGGCCAACCUGUUCUAGUGCUUGAUAACAAUCCAAGAAUGCAGUAACUUCCUCCCUCUAACUCAGAUUUGAGACACUCUCCUUUUUCGUACAGGUCUGAAAGUAUCAGGCCCUUGCGGAAGAGCCUUUUAUUGACCUGACACUCUUCAUUAAACUGUCCCUCACCGGCCAGAGGAUGAAUAACCUUGGACCACUGAGCUGUUUCUAGGCUCUAAUUUCCAGUGCUUUAACCGUCCCUCUGGCUCGGCUCUAGACUCUUCAAGUCCUCCUUCGUACAAGUAGCACGGCUUGUGAAGACACACAGCUCUAGUGAUGGUCCCCACCACAUGGCUUCUUCGGGCGCUGUGCGGUGGGAGCCUGGGGCCAUGCGCGCGCAGGUAGGGGACUUCCUCACCUCACAUUCAGGCUGUCCCUGACCCCCUCUUCUCUACCCUCGCUUUAAGUUAAUAGAAGAAAGAAAGGAAGAAAAAAAAAGGGAAGGAAGAAAAGAAGAGGGCAGAAAAAAUACAAAAGGGAACUAAGAUGUAUAAAAAUAUGAGAAAUGCAUUGUAACAGGAAAUACAAGCCAAAAGAUUCAUUUUACCAGAUGAAAAGUACGUAAAAACAACAUUUUUGCAUUCAGACUCGCAGCAUGUUUCUACACAUUUCAGUAUUUUCCACCGCCCUUUGAACACCCCACGAGUGCCCACAAACACAAGCUGAUUUGUCCUGUUUCAGCUUUAUGCUAAUAGGUAAACGUGAGGAGAGGCUUAUAGCUGAAUUCCAUGAAAUAAGUUAUUGCAUGAACAUCUGAAGGUUGUUUUUUAAAGGUAAAGAGGGAAGCAAGAGAUUCUGAGAAUUUCAUUUUCACAGUAAUGGCUCGAUGUUUGUUCCUCUAACAAAGUGUGGCUUUCAGCUAUGCCCUGGCUCUCUCAUUCAAAGCCAGAGCAAUUUCUUCGCAUUACAGAAAGACAGUUUAAGGAAAGAGAACAAGUUAGGUAGUUUAGAGUGGCUAUGGAAGAUUUUUCAGGGGGGGAAAAAAAAGCACUAACCUGUGUUGUUUUAAU